UUUAAAGACUUCUUUCUGAAUGCCAUUGAA
rnacentral:piRNA from 1 species